rnacentral:tRNA from 1 species
GCCUGGAUGGCUCAGUUAGUUAAGCAUCUGACUUCAGCUCAGGUCAUGAUCUCGUGGUUUGUGAGUUCGAGCCCCACAUCGGGCU